UACGGAGGGUGCGAGCGUUAAUCGGAAUUACUGGGCGUAAAGCGUGCGUAGGCGGUUUGAUAAGUCGGGUGUGAAAGCCCCGGGCUUAACCUGGGAAUGGCCGUUGAAACUGGCGAACUGGAGUGUGGCAGAGGGGGGUGGAAUUCCGCGUGUAGCAGUGAAAUUCGUAGAUAUUCGCAAGAACACCAGUGGCGAAGGCGGCUCACUGGCCCGGUACUGACGCUGAGGUGCGAAAGCGUGGGGAGCAAACAGG
rnacentral:rRNA from 1 species